rnacentral:rRNA from 1 species
AAGAGUUUUGGGAUAUGGCUCAGAUUGAACGCUGGCGGCAGGCCUAACACAUGCAAGUCGAACGGUAGCACAGAGGAGCUUGCUCCUUGGGUGACGAGUGGCGGACGGGUGAGUAAUGUCUGGGAAACUGCCCGAUGGAGGGGGAUAACUACUGGAAACGGUAGCUAAUACCGCAUAACGUCGCAAGACCAAAGAGGGGGACCUUCGGGCCUCUUGCCAUCGGAUGUGCCCAGAUGGGAUUAGCUAGUAGGUGGGGUAACGGCUCACCUAGGCGACGAUCCCUAGCUGGUCUGAGAGGAUGACCAGCCACACUGGAACUGAGACACGGUCCAGACUCCUACGGGAGGCAGCAGUGGGGAAUAUUGCACAAUGGGCGCAAGCCUGAUGCAGCCAUGCCGCGUGUAUGAAGAAGGCCUUCGGGUUGUAAAGUACUUUCAGCGAGGAGGAAGGCGUUGUGGUUAAUAACCGCAGCGAUUGACGUUACUCGCAGAAGAAGCACCGGCUAACUCCGUGCCAGCAGCCGCGGUAAUACGGAGGGUGCAAGCGUUAAUCGGAAUUACUGGGCGUAAAGCGCACGCAGGCGGUCUGUCAAGUCGGAUGUGAAAUCCCCGGGCUCAACCUGGGAACUGCAUCCGAAACUGGCAGGCUAGAGUACUAUUGG